GACGAACGCUGGCGGCGUGCUUAACACAUGCAAGUCGAACGGAAAGGCCCUGCUUUUGUGUGUUGCUCGAGUGGCGAACGGGUGAGUAACACGUGAGUAACCUGCCCUUGACUUUGGGAUAACUUCAGGAAACUGGGGCUAAUACCGGAUAGGAGCUCCUGCUGCAUGGUGGGGGUUGGAAAGUUUCGGCGGUUGGGGAUGGUCUCGCUGCUUAUCAGCUUGUUGGUGGGGUAGUGGCUUACCAAGGUUUUGACGGGUAGCCGGCCUGAGAGGGUGACCGGCCACAUUGGGACUGCGAGACGGCCCAGACGCCUACGGGAGGCAGCAGUGGAGAAUAUUGCGCAAUGGGCGGAAGCGUGAUGCAGCAACGCCGCGUGCGGGAUGACGGCCUUCGGGGUGUAAACCGCUUUCGCCGGUGACGAAGCGUGAGUGACGGUAAUGGGUAAAGAAGCACCGGCUAACUACGUG
rnacentral:rRNA from 1 species